rnacentral:rRNA from 1 species
AACGAACGCUGGCGGCAGGCCUCAAACAUGCAGUCUAGGGGAUGUAGCAAUACAUCACCGGCGGACGGGUGCGUAACGCGUGGGAAUGUACCUAUUGGUUCGGAACAACUGAGGGAAACUUCAGCUAAUACCGAAUGAGCCCGUAAGGGGAAAGAUUUCUCGCCAAUAGAUCAGCCCGCGUCCGAUUAGCUAGUUGGUGGGGUUAUGGCCUACCAAGGCGACGAUCGGUAGCUGUUCUGAGAGGAAGAUCAGCCACACUGGGACUGAGACACGGCCCAGACUCCUACGGGAGGCAGCAGUUGGGAAUCUUGGACAAUGGGGGAAACCCUGAUCCAGCCAUGCCGCGUGAGUGAUGAAGGCCUUCGGGUUGUAAAACUCUUUCGACGGGGACGAUAAUGACGGUACCCGUAGAAGAAGCUCCGGCUAACUUCGUGCCAGCAGCCGCGGUAAUACGAAGGGGGCUAGCGUUGUUCGGAAUUACUGGGCGUAAAGCGCGCGCAGGCGGUCUUCCAAGUCAGUGGUGAAAGCCCGGAGCUCAACUCCGGAACUGCCAUUGAAACUGUGA